UACGUAGGCAGCAAGCGUUGUUCGGAAUUACUGGGCGUAAAGAGUGUGUAGGUGGUGUCGUAAGUUUGGUGUGAAAUCUCCCGGCUUAACUGGGAGGGUGCGCCGAAGACUGCGAUGCUGGAGUAUGGGAGAGGAAAGCGGAAUUCCUGGUGUAGCGGUGAAAUGCGCAGAUAUCAGGAGGAACACCGAUUGCGAAGGCAGCUCGCUGGGACGUUACUGACGCUGAGACGCGAAAGCGUGGGGAGCAAACAGG
rnacentral:rRNA from 1 species